UGGAUCCAGACUUUGAUCAUGGCUCAGGAUGAACGCUAGCUACAGGCUUAACACAUGCAAGUCGAGGGGAAACGAUAGAGAAAGCUUGCUUUUUCUAGGCGUCGACCGGCGCACGGGUGAGUAACGCGUAUCCAGCCUGCCCAUCACUUGGGGAUAACCUUGCGAAAGUAAGACUAAUACCCAAUGACGUCUCUAGAAGACAUCUGAAAGAGAUUAAAGAUUUAUCGGUGAUGGAUGGGGAUGCGUCUGAUUAGCUUGUUGGCGGGGUAACGGCCCACCAAGGCGACGAUCAGUAGGGGUUCUGAGAGGAAGGUCCCCCACAUUGGAACUGAGACACGGUCCAAACUCCUACGGGAGGCAGCAGUGAGGAAUAUUGGUCAAUGGACGAGAGUCUGAACCAGCCAAGUAGCGUGCAGGAAGACGGCCCUAUGGGUUGUAAACUGCUUUUAUAAGGGAAUAAAGUGAGUCUCGUGAGACUUUUUGCAUGUACCUUAUGAAUAAGGACCGGCUAAUUCCGUGCCAGCAGCCGCGGUAAUACGGAAGGUCCGGGCGUUAUCCGGAUUUAUUGGGUUUAAAGGGAGCGUAGGCCGGAGAUUAAGCGUGUUGUGAAAUGUAGACGCUCAACGUCUGCACUGCAGCGCGAACUGGUUUCCUUGAGUACGCACAAAGUGGGCGGAAUUCGUGGUGUAGCGGUGAAAUGCUUAGAUAUCACGAAGAACUCCGAUUGCGAAGGCAGCUCACUGGAGCGCAACUGACGCUGAAGCUCGAAAGUGCGGGUAUCGAACAGGAUUAGAUACCCUGGUAGUCCGCACGGUAAACGAUGGAUGCCCGCUGUUGGUCUGAAUAGGUCAGCGGCCAAGCGAAAGCAUUAAGCAUCCCACCUGGGGAGUACGCCGGCAACGGUGCAACUCAAAGGAAUUGACGGA
rnacentral:rRNA from 2 species